rnacentral:rRNA from 1 species
CAGAAAGAAGCGCCGGCUAACUACGUGGCCAGCAGCGCGGUAAUAACGUAAGGGCGGCGAGCGUUGGUCCGGAAUUAUUGGGCGGUAAAGAAGCUCCGUAGGCGGCUUGUCCACGUCGGAUGUUGAAAGGCCCGGGGCCUAACCCCGGGUCUGCAUUCGAUACGGGCUAGGCUAGAAGGUGGUAGGGGAGAUUCGAAUUUCCUGGGUAGCGGUGAAAUGCGCAGAUAUCAGGAGGAACCCCCGUUGCGAAGGCGGAUUUCUGGGCCAUUUAUUGCCGUGAAGAACGGAAGCGUGGGGAACGAACAGGAAUAGAUUCCCUGGUAAGUCCCCCCGUUAACCGUGGGACAUAGGUGUUGGGGACCAUCCCAGUUGUCGGUGCCGCAAGUUACGCAAUAAGUUCCCCGCCUGGGGAAUUCGGCCGCCAGGGUAAAACUCAAAGGAAUUGACCGGGGCCCGCCCCAGCAGCGGAGCAAGUGGGUUAAUUUGGCGCAACGGGAAGAACCUUUCCAAGGCUUGACCUAUCCCGGAAAGCCUCCGAGAAGGUGCCCCCCUUGUGGUUGGUAUACCGGUGGGGCCUGGCUGUUGUCAAGUUGGGUUGUGAGAUGUUGGGGUAAAUCCCGCAACGAGCGCCACCCUUGUUCCGUGUUGCCCACCUGCCCUUCGGGGUGAUGGGGACUCACAGGAGACCGCCGGGGUCAACUCGGAGGAAGGUGGGGACGACGUCAAGUCAUCAUGCCCCUUAUGUCUUGGGCUGCACACGUGCUACAAUGGCCGGUACAAUGAGCUGCGAUGCCGCGAGGCGGAGCGAAUCUCAAAAAGCCGGUCUCAGUUCGGAUUGGGGUCUGCAACUCGACCCCAUGAAGUCGGAGUUGCUAGUAAUCGCAGAUCAGCAUUGCUGCGGUGAAUACGUUCCCGGGCCUUGUACACACCGCCCGUCACGUCACGAAAGUCGGUAACACCCGAAGCCGGUGGCCCAACCCCUUGUGGGAGGGAGCUGUCGAAGGUGGGACUGGCGAUGGACGAAGUCGUAACAAGAGCCCACGG